AUGACAUCAAAACUCCUUAUAUUCAAUAUUAGUAAUGUGCAUGGUGUUGGCUUGAAUGAAAUUUGUUGAAGUCGAAACCUGAACUGUAUGAUCUUCAUUCUCACUGAGAUUUUUGCUGUCUUGCGGUGUUGGUUUGGUUUGUGCAUUCAUGAUUUUUGUUUGUAGAAACUUCAUGAACGAUUCACUGAGAUUUAAUUUACUGAUUUUGGAUCAGUGCUGGUUGUUCAUUUUCACUCGGCUCUAUUCUUAUGGCACAUCACUACUGUUCAAGCUCCUUAUUGUUGCAAUGAGCUAGUUUCUUCAUGUUUGCAUCACUUGAGACUUAGAAAAUUCAUGAUCAAAUUGGAACUCACAUGGAUGUGCCUGCACGGCUGCACCUGAUAUGGGAACUGGGCCACAGGUUUGUUAUCAAGCCGACUUAGAAAGUACUAAAACUUUGAUGUUGCAGUUACAAUUGCAGUUGGGAACUUUGAUUAUACUUUGAAUUGUGUAAUUUAAUUAUAUAAUUCACUUAAAUAUUUGUAUUUGUUUUAUGAUUCAGGAACUGUGUAUACCAAUUGUACAUGUUGAUCUCUUGUAUGAAUGUAGGAACUGUGUAUGGAGGAUUGGAGAAUCCAUUUAGUUAUAGUAUGAAGCCAAGAGUUGGCAAUAACAAGAUUCCGCCGGUCUCUCGCCAUUAUUGUGUGCCUCUACAAUGCUAUCAUCUUGAUCUCAUUAAUUUCACCGAGUUUCAGUUUCCUGGCAGCUGAGGCUCAUAACAAUUAAGGAAUGGGAUUUGAAGUUGUAUUUAAUGGCGGACCUGCAGUUUGUAUAUCACAUAUUGGCCCUAAGAAUUUCAUGGUUCAGGUUGCACUUGUCCUUUGUUUUGAAAUUAUCCUAAUAAGUCUAAUUAUUUUUAUUUACAUGGAAUCCUUCCAGAUCUCAAUCUAGUUGUGUCACUACUCCUAGGUCGAUCUCACCUUAUGUAUAUUUGUACAUUUUACACUUUUGGACAGAUAACAUCACAAUAUAUGUGUCAAAAGGUAAUCAAUCAUCCCUCUUUUUUUAACUUAGUGUGAUUUCCAUUGUUUGAUAAAAAUUGAAAUUUUUA